GUCUUAGAUGGGGUUAAACCAGAAGCGGUCUGUAAUAGGAAGAUGUGUUAGCAAGUGAUUUAUUAAGGGAGUACACAAAAUAAUGGUAUAAAUGAUCCUGGGAGACCUGGGUAAAGUAUCAAUCUUACUACAGCUUCCUCAUGAAUAUUCUCCUUUAUAUAGGCCCAACAUCCCAGUACCCUUAGCCAUUUCAGAAUAUGUAUUCAAUUCACCUCCUGCACACAUCCCUCAGAAGGAGCAUGCUUUUCAGAUUUUAAUCUUGCUCAAAAAAGAAAAAAAGUUAAUGUGAAUUGUGUACAGUCUGAUCCAAUUCUAGACAAAAGCCUGUUACCUUGGAUCUCAAAAAUGUCUUAAUUCAAAUUCAAUAAUAUAUAUGAAAAUUUAAACUUUAGCGUCUUUCCUGAAAGUGUUACCCAUAUUGAGUUUUAGAUUAAAGACUCCAGGCUGAUGCUUCAAAGCAAAACUGGGAACCAAGGAUGUGAGAAUGCACUGUAAGAACCAUCGUAAAGAAAAUCCUGGACUUCUGUGGAAUAGGACUCAAAAGAGAAAAACUGGAAAACAGAAAGUUAGUCUGACAAGCCAUCUCAACUCCUGUGAUUAAAAACUUCACAUAAAUAAAGUCACAAUCUACUUAUCUUGAGGCUGCCUAUGAUAAAUUUUAAAACAAAUCUAGAAAAUGGAAAGACAAAUAACUAUAAAAAACUUGAUAGUUCUCACUAAUCUGCUACUUUGAAAACAAUGUUAAAAAUUUAAUUUCAAAUAAAGUGCUUUUGCUUCUAAUAUGGUAUUUUAGAUGAUACAGGCUGGACUUCGAUUCUACCUAAAACUUUCUCAGUUCCUUCAAUAUUAUUCUUCAGACUGUGAAGCCAAAUUCUUCAAGGGACUAAAGAAGACCAAGUGAUAAGGGAAACGUUGCAGGGGAUUUUGAAGUUAGGAUAGAUGUUAGGAUUUAGGGCUUCUUCUUAUUCCCAACAUCAGAUCUGCGUUUCUUGAUGUAUUUCUGGAUUUUAGUUUAGGAGCCUGACUGGGACUUGAAAAAAGAUAGAAGGGCAGAUGUGACAAAAAGUAAUGAAAGUAGCCCUCUAAACUUUUUAUUCUCCCCUGGGGUGGGAGGGGAAAUUAUUUCAGGAUUACUAAGUACUGAGAGCAGAAGAUUCAGAAGAAUGACUAUUUUAUUUUGCUUUUUCCUUUUCCUUGACAUUUUGACUCCAAUAAAGACAUAUUCUGAACUAAGAAAACAAAGCUUACUGAAGAAUAAUGAAAAUUUUAACCCAGCUAUGCAUAUUUAGUGAAGCUCCUUUAAGUAGCAAUGUAAUCUCAUGACCAUGUUCAAUUUUCUCAGAAAAUAAACAAGAAUUUUCCACUAAGAGCAAGUAUUUAUUAAAUUCCAAUUAAAAAUAAUACCAAGAAGAUAUUUUCAUGUGAACUGUAUACUGUAAAAAAUGGGUGUAUAUAUAAUGUUUUCUCUCUUUAUAAAACUUUUAUAUUAAUUACUGUUUGCUUGACAUAGUUCCAAGUAUUUUACAAAUUUAACUUUUAAAUGCUCAUUUUAAAUAUUAAUAAAGGGUCAAGUCACUGGUUCACGAUCACACAUCUGAUAAGUGUUGAAGCUGGGAUUUGAACCUGGACAGUUUCGAGCCUAGACAGUUUUGAGCCUAGACAGUUUUGAGCCUGGACAGUAUGGCUUCAGAGUCAUCACCCUUAGCUAUUAUGCUAUAUUACUCUCCAUAUUUAGGAAAGUGUCCCCAG
rnacentral:lncRNA from 1 species